UAGUGCGUUGAGGGUUCCGCGUCCGCGGGUUUAACAUGUUGUGCCAGUGAACGUGGUCCGACACGAUGCACGCGUUGUUCGGCGAACAGAGCCCGUACGCGUACCGCGGAGGCGCCGCCGGAGGGUACUCGGCCAGUGUCACCCCCUAUGCCUACGAGCAAUACCGGUAUGGAUACGGUGCUCCUUACCUCCAUCCGCACCAGCAGCAUGUCGGUGCACCCAAAGACAUGGUCAAACCGCCUUAUUCCUACAUAGCACUUAUUGCGAUGGCUAUACAGAACGCGCCCGAUCGUCGUAUUACCCUCAAUGGAAUUUAUCAGUUUAUCAUGGAGCGUUUUCCAUAUUACCGUGAAAACAAACAAGGAUGGCAGAAUUCUAUAAGACAUAAUUUAAGUCUAAACGAGUGCUUCGUGAAAGUGGCUCGAGAUGACAAAAAACCCGGUAAAGGUAGUUAUUGGACGUUAGAUCCAGACUCCUACAACAUGUUCGACAACGGAUCAUAUUUGAGACGACGGCGUCGUUUUAAAAAGAAAGAUGCCUUGAAAGAGAAAGAGGAAGCCCUAAAGCGGCAGCAACAGCUGCAACAGGCACAGGAGGCGCUGGCCGCGCAAGAGGCACUUAGCGUGUCCGACGUGACGGGGCAGGCGCGCGACGUGAAGCCCGACGUCAAGCCGCGCCUUUUCGAAUGCCGGCCCAAGCGGGAACCCGGCGCGGAUUGUGCGCGCUACGAUAAGCCGACGGACUCCCUGGACGACUACAGUGAGCCCCGGUUACCGCCCUCCGCCGUGUACUGCUCGCCACAGCCGUACGCGCUGGCGGCGGAGGAGUUCCGAGCGGCCGCGUCGGGCUGGUACGCGGCGCCGGAGCCGCCAGCCGAGCAGCUGCCUCCGGCGUUCCGAGACCUCUUUGAGCCUCCGAGUUGCCAGCUUGCUGGCUUCCGAGGGUCGCCUCCUCCCGACGCAUACCGCACAUCACCACCGCCUCAUCACCACUACCGCGCGCCGGCGCCCUCCUACUACCAUCACCAAGCGUGCGUGGCAGCCGCACCCGCACCCGCUCACAAGUCUUACUGAGACAUCGCAUCCAGGAGGCCGGCAUCACACGGCGCCGAACGAAUUUAGCUGCGCGUCAGUUCCAGCACGGAUAAAUAUAGCGCAGUAGCCGGAGAUGCCGCGGAGGCAAGUGGCGGCGCGUCGAUAACCACUGUUUACACGUCGGCGGCCGGCCCUGCCGCCUCCCGCUCCGUCCACACCUAUAGGUUUGACGGAAUAAGAAGACGGGAGGCAUGCAGCAGGGAGAAACGAUACAAUAGUGGAAGCCAUAACAAUGUGAUGGACUGAAAUGUGCUAUCUUUCAGUGGACCUCGUGACUGACCAGUGAGACAGAUAGUUCCGUUACAGCGAACUACAUAAAUAUAAAAUUAGCAUUAUUGUGAAAUCUCUACUUCUCAAGAGAACGUUCAUAAUUCAAGGAGUUAGUAUGUAGGUAUGUAUAUUCGUUCACCAGUGACUUAUUUAAGGUAGAAAAGGCUACAAAUGAAUUUAAUUGUAUUGUGACAACCACUCUUCUUGAUUGGUAAUUUUAUUUGCGUAUUAGUGUAAAUACGUACCUAGGUAAAAGUACACGAUUCACAUGUAUUCUACACCUAUCUUAGCUAGCUCGUCUGAUACUUGUUCUAGUCUGUUGAUUCGUCUUUUCUGUGUAAUGUCUAAAACAUUGGUUAUUGACUUAUAUAUAUAUACACUUAUUCACUUUUAGAAAUAACUAUUGAGAAAUAUUUUGACAUGCACACUCAUUAGCGUGUAAGUUUAGGUAAUUUUUUUGGCUUUAAUAUUUGAAAUAUUUUUUUAUUUAUACAUAUUUUGAAGUAUGGACAUGUGUAGGUACUUCAUUACAAAGGUACUAGAUAAAAACCACCAAAACCACCCGUAGUGUUAUUUUUGUAGCGGGUAUUUAUGAACGGGAUUCCCAUCCGGGAAAUAAAUAUGUGAUGGAAUGGAUUAAAAUGAAAUUAAUGUGAAUAUUUACACUAUUUAGAUUUCCGUCUCUUAUUUUGUCCAAAAGGAAGAAAACAUUGGCGCUAUCCAUAGAAACUUUUGUAAUGUGUUCAUUUUGUCUCCGAGUACGUAUGUACUUAGUACCAGAUAGGUAAACCUAAGCUUAACCGCGAGAAUAUGUGUGCCAUAACCGUAAUGUAUUAUGAAGAAAAUCAUGAGGGUAGAACUAAUUGUAUGUAAUAUAAUAUACUACUAGUAGAAAAUGAUUACGAUUGCUACAGAUUGUACGUUAAUUGCAACUGUGUAGUACAACACAUUAGUUAGUGGAAGGUGGCAUAACUCUAAGUAGGCAGUUCCCAUGGAAUAGAUAACUUUAAGGAACCAUAUAGUUAUGAAUUUAUAUAUAAAUAAAAUUAAUUUAGUCACAUAGUUUAAGUAGUUCAUUAGAUCUAAGUCAAUCAUAAAAGCCUGAAAUUGUUAGUGCUUUGCUGUCCUCUCUUCGUUACCAAUAAAUAAAUAAAAAAAUAAUAACCGAUAAUAAUCAUACCUUAGGUACUUUGAACUUUACCUGAAUAUGUCCUAAUAUAAAAAUUUCAAAAUACAGUGUGUUACCACCAUGCGGGCAUUUAUUUAAUUUGAUAAUAAUACUUAUGUUCCAUUAGCAAUUGUUUGUGUAUAUCAGCAAAUCAUAGUUAUUUAAGUUAAUUGCACAAUUGAUUUUCCAAAUUAAAUUUCCAUUUGCCUACCCCUUUACGGGAUACGGGCGUGAUUGUAUGUAUGUAAUUUUCCAAAAUACGCACAUCUAAUACAGCAUGAUAUACCUAUGUAAUUACUCUCAUAGCUACUGCUCACAAGCUGUCAAAUAUUACACUUAUCUACUUGACAACUUAAUGCUGUAAUUAUAUUUUGUCAAUUUUUGUUAGAAAGUUUAUAAAGUCAAUUUUGUUCUAUUAUGGUUGAGUUAAAUAAAGAUUAUGCUACUUUAAAAAAGCCAUGUUUUGUAACAUACUUAAUAAUUCGUCAAAAUUUGAAACUUAUUUAUUUGAUAUUUAUUAUAAUAUAAUUAAAUGACGAAAUAGUCAACUGUCAAAGGUUUACCAAUUCUUAGCUUGCUUGGGGAUUCAGUUUAAAGUUAAUCCAGUAUACAGGAAAUAAAAUAAAAAGGACAUUAUUUGUAGAUGUCUUUACUAGGUUAAAGAAGUAUGUGCAUAAUGUACCAAAUAGCUUUCAAUAUACUGUAAAAUACUUUCACAGACCCUGUCCAAAGAGAACAGCACUGUCUCGACUACUUCCGACGUUCCGACGACUUCAACUUUUUCCAAUUAUUUAUUUACGCACUUUUUCCAUAUCAUCCUUACAUUUAUAAAAAUUAUAAACUUUUCUCAGGUAAUAACUAAUUAUUAAGGAAUAAUUCGUCAUUCACUGGAACUUUUAUUGGACUACCUACUUAAGUUGGCUUUUGAAUUUGUGAUAAUUAUCGUAAAUGUGUGUACAUAAAUGUAUUUAAACAAUAAAUGUUUA
rnacentral:misc_RNA from 1 species